UCCGGAGGGUGCAAGCGUUAUCCGGAAUUAUUGGGCGUAAAGCGUCCGCAGGUGGCUGUGUAAGUCUGCUGUCAAAGAGCGAAGCUCAACUUCGUAAAGGCAGUGGAAACUACACGGCUAGAGUGCGUUCGGGGCAGAGGGAAUUCCUGGUGUAGCGGUGAAAUGCGUAGAGAUUGGGAAGAACACCGGUGGCGAAAGCGCUCUACUGGGCCUGCACUGACACUGAGGGACGAAAGCUAGGGGAGCGAAAGGG
rnacentral:rRNA from 1 species